rnacentral:rRNA from 1 species
UACGGAGGGUGCAAGCGUUAUCCGGAUUCACUGGGUUUAAAGGGUGCGUAGGUGGGCAGGUAAGUCAGUGGUGAAAUCUCCGGGCUUAACUCGGAAACUGCCAUUGAUACUAUCUUUCUUGAAUACCGUGGAGGUCAGCGGAAUAUGUCAUGUAGCGGUGAAAUGCUUAGAUAUGACAUAGAACACCAAUUGCGAAGGCAGCUCACUACACAAAGAUUGACACUGAGGCACGAAAGCGUGGGGAUCAAACAGG